GCGUCCUUAGCUCAGUGGCAGAGCAUUGCAUUCACAUUGCAAGGGUCGCUGGUUCGAUCCCAGCAGGACGCA
rfam:Candidatus Ryanbacteria bacterium RIFCSPLOWO2_01_FTLL_48_26 rifcsplowo2_01_scaffold_2790, whole genome shotgun sequence.